rnacentral:snRNA from 1 species
AUACUUACCUGGUGUCGGACUGCCAAUGAUCACCAAGGUUGGGGUCCCGUGCCGAGGCAUGUCCAUUGCACUGCGGUUGGCUGACACACGCCACUACCCCAAACCGGGGCAGAUGGGGCAUGUAAUUUUUGGUAGUGGGGCCAGGCGUACGCGCCGGCCCCUG